rnacentral:tRNA from 1 species
GGGGAUGUAGCGCAGUGGUAGCGCGUUCGCUUUGCAUGUGAAAGGCCCCGGGUUCAAUCCCGGCAUCUCCA